rnacentral:rRNA from 1 species
ACUCCUACGGGAGGCAGCAGUAAGGAAUAUUGGACAAUGGGCGCAAGCCUGAUCCAGCCAUCCCGCGUGCAGGAAGACAGCCCUAUGGGUUUUAAACUGCUUUAGAAGGGAAGAAACGCCUACAUUUAUGUGGGUUUGACGGUACCUUCAGAAUAAGCACCGGCUAACUCCGUGCCAGCAGCCGCGGUAAUACGGAGGGUGCGAGCGUUAAUCGGAAUUACUGGGCGUAAAGCGCAUGCAGGCGGCCUGUUAAGUCAGAUGUGAAAGCCCGGGGCUUAACCUCGGAAUUGCAUUUGAAACUGGCAGGCUAGAGUCUUGUAGAGGGGGUAGAAUUUCAGGUGUAGCGGUGAAAUGCGUAGAGAUCUGAAGGAAUACCAGUGGCGAAGGCGGCCCCCUGGACAAAGACUGACGCUCAGAUGCGAAAGCGUGGGGAGCAAACAGGAUUAGAUACCCUGGUAGGAUAGCG